AGCGAACGCUGGCGGCAGGCCUAACACAUGCAAGUCGAACGAACCUUUCGGGGUUAGUGGCGGACGGGUGAGUAACACGUGGGAACGUGCCUUUAGGUUCGGAAUAACUCAGGGAAACUUGUGCUAAUACCGAAUGUGCCCUUCGGGGGAAAGAUUUAUCGCCUUUAGAGCGGCCCGCGUCUGAUUAGCUAGUUGGUUGAGGUAAUGGCUCACCAAGGCGACGAUCAGUAGCUGGUCUGAGAGGAUGAUCAGCCACAUUGGGACUGAGACACGGCCCAAUCUCCUACGGGAGGCAGCAGUGGGGAAUCUUGCGCAAUGGGCGAAAGCCUGACGCAGCCAUGCCGCGUGAAUGAUGAAGGUCUUAGGAUUGUAAAAUUCUUUCACCGGGGACGAUAAUGACGGUACCCGGAGAAGAAGCCCCGGCUAACUUCGUG
rnacentral:rRNA from 1 species